CCGGGAUAUGCAAGAAAAUAAAAUAAAUGGAAAGCGUAAAUUAAAAGAAAAAGUAGGAGAUACUCCCUAUUAUGGGAUAUCCUUCGAGUUCGAAGGGUAUUCGCGGAUCCUCUCGUCUCCCAUAAGCUUUACCUACAAAAUAAAAACACACUUAAAAAACAAGUUAGUAUAAAAUUUAGGAACAAAAUUAAUGCAUGCAAGUCCCGGGAUAUGCAAGAAAAUAAAAUAAAUGGAAAGCGUAAAUUAAAAGAAAAAGUAGGAGAUACUCCCUAUUAUGGGAUAUCCUUCGAGUUCGAAGGAUAUUCGCGGAUCCUCUCGUCUCCCAUAAGCUUUACCUACAAAAUAAACACACUUAAAAAACAAGUUAGUAUAAAAUUAAGGAAUAAAAUUAAUGCAUGCAUGUCCCGGGAUAUGCAAGAAAAUAAAAUAAAUGGAAAGCGUAAAUUAAAAGAAAAAGUAGGAGAUACUCCCUAUUAUGGGAUAUCCUUCGGGUUCGAAGGAUAUUCGCGGAUCCUCUCGUCUCCCAAAAACUUUACCUACAAAAUAAAAACACACUUAAGAAACAAGUUAGUAUAAAAUUUAGGAAAAAAAUUAAUGCAUGCAAGUCCCGGGAUAUGCAAGAAAAUAAAAUAAAUGGAAAGCGUAAAUUAAAAGAAAAAGUAGGAGAUACUCCCUAUUAUGGGAUAUCCUUCGAGUUCGAAGGGUAUUCGCCGAUCCUCUCGUCUCCCAUAAGCUUUACCUACAAAAUAAAAACACACUUAAAAAACAAGUUAGUAUAAAAUUUAGGAACAAAAUUAAUGCAUGCAAGUCCCGGGAUAUGCAAGAAAAUAAAAUAAAUGGAAAGCGUAAAUUAAAAGAAAAAGUAGGAGAUACUCCCAAUUAUGGGAUAUCCUUCGAGUUCGAAGGGUAUUCGCGGAUCGUCUCGUCUCCCAUAAGCUUUACCUACAAAAUAAAAACACACUUAAAAAACAAGUUAGUAUAAAAUUUAGGAACAAAAUUAAUGCAUGCAAGUCCCGGGAUAUGCAAGAAAAUAAAAUAAAUGGAAAGCGUAAAUUAAAAAAAAA